ACACCGUUGGUGAAGUGGUUAUCAUGCUUGCCUUCCAUUGCCAUCAAUUCGUAGACAGCAAGCGGCUCGGGUUCGAUUCCCGAACGGUGUA